rnacentral:misc_RNA from 1 species
CUCAAGGAAAUACAUUUUCUAAUAUUUUAGAAACCAUUGACUGUGAGAAAGAGAGAGAGAGAGAGAGAGUAAGAACAUGAUGUUAAUACGUGAGAUUGCAAUCCAAUCGAAAUAAUAGAAAUGUAAAAAAGAAAAAAAAAGGAAAGCAAUUUCUGAGUUGUGGAAAUACUCUGAUUUUUGAUGAAUUUAGUGCAGACAGAAUAGAAAGCAGAAGAAAAAGAAGAGAAAAAAGAUUAUGUAACAGUAUACCAUUGGGGCCACGCGACUCUAGUGCAUCAAAGUUCUUGGCGUGCGACCAUUGAAAGUUUAGAGAAACGGAGUUUUGAGGGACACAACUUGUACCGUAAGCGUGCCGUUAUAGGAAGAUGAUUUUUACGUAAGGAGAGGAAUAUUUAUGCGCUCCAAUAUCCGGCGGGACGAUAUAUCACGAAAGCUUGGUGGUUUUUUCAAAGGGAAAGAAAAAAAGGAAAAGAAAGAAAGAUAGAAAGAAAGAGAGAGAGAGAGAGAGUGAGUACAAUUCUCGCCAUAGAUAGUAGUAGUAGUAGUAAUAGUAGUCGUGUGGCGUACGUCGAGGAUAUGACACACGACUAUGCGACGAGGAUGAGGAUGAGGAUGAGGAUGA